rfam:Oscillibacter sp. KLE 1745 genomic scaffold Scaffold513, whole genome shotgun sequence.
UGUAUGGCGCUAAGCGGCGGCGCAGUAUUCUAGUCAGAUCAUCCGUCUCCGAAGGAGGGGCUAAAAAUCCUCUGAAGGGCACACCGAUGAAACCUCUGGUGCCUGCUUGAUACGCCCAGUUUCGGGUGGGUGCUGGGGGGAAGCCUGGCUUUGCCUGCGCUUGCGGACUCAGGGCGCUUUCCAAUGGCAUGGUGAUGACGACCCUGUUUCCGUGGAGACCUGUUCUUGUGCGCGGACGUACUCCCAGUGUGGUAUUCCGGGCCGCGUACGAAGCAGCUGAUGAACCUGCAGCGCGGUGCAUCGGCCCUGCGGGGCCGUAACGCUGUGUGCAGACGUAGCCUGCCUUGCGUGAGGCGGGUGGAUGGGGGAACAACAGGCGGGGCCCUCUGGCCAGAGGGCCCGUUUGAUCGCCCCCUGAAACCCGGUUUGCAAAAGAGGCUAAAGGGACGGAUCGACUGGGGUGGAAAUCACCUAGGCUGUCCUGACCGGGCUGAAAAGGGAUUGCAGUGCGGACUAAGUGGCGAUCGGGUGGCAUGGCUGGCGACACUGUGCCGCGGCACCGAAGGGGGAACCGCCUCCAUCGGCAACGAGAGGUGUGCCGCGGGGAAAUCCAACCCGUACCUAAGCCGUAAGAUUUACCUUUUCCGCCGCCGCCGACUUAGCCAACUGG